rnacentral:lncRNA from 1 species
GGCAACCGGAGUCCUUUUCCACACUGUGGAAGCUUUGUUCUUUUGCUCUUUGCAAUAAAUCUUGCUGCUGCUCACUCUUUGGGUCCACACUGCCUUUAUGAGCUGUAACACUCACCGUGAAGGUCUGCAGCUUUACUCCUGAAGCCAGCGAGACCACGAACCCACCGGCAGGAACGAACAACUCCAGACGCGCCGCCUUAAGAGCUGUAACACUCACCGCGAAGGUCUGCAGCUUCACUCCUGAGCCAGCGAGACCACGAACCCACCGGAAGGAAGAAACUCUGAACACAUCCGAACAUCAGAAGGAACAAACUCCGGACACGCCGCCUUUAAGAACUGUUAACACUCACCGCAAGGGUCCGCGGCUUCGUUCUUGAAGUCAGUGAGACCAAGAACCCACCAAUUCCGGACACAAGGGGAGCUGACUUUCAUUAUAAAGAUUUUCUCAUUGCAAAGUGAAAAAGAGAAUAAUAACUUUAAAACAAGGCAGAAAGUAAAGAGAACUGGAAGCGAGGAACAUGCUCUGAACUAGAACUGGCAACAUGAGAGAUGAGCUCAGGCUUCAAAAUGGUGUCUGCACUGGGUCUUGAAGGAAGAGCAGAGUUUGGGCAUUUAGAAACCAAGAAUUCCAGGUGAGGAUAAUGUGUCAUAGAUAUUUCUUGCGUUUGGCUGCCCAGCCUCUAUUAUUUGUUUUUUAUACCCAACACUCUGAUUUACGGUUGGGGAAAUUCUCUCCAUCCAUUGGGUAAAGUUCACAAAAUAUUAUUUACAGAGAUGCUCUGAUUUCCUCUAGCUAAAGCCAGGUCAAUUGGAUUUUCUCUGUAAUCUGAGCAGAGUGGCAAAAAAAAAAAAAAAAAAAAAAGCAAUAAUGUGGCCCUCAUUUGUUCACUCUGGUUGUGCCCUGAAAAGAUUGUCCCACAGUUUUUGUUACUCUGAGAUCUUGUCCCCCAACCCCAAACUGAGCUUUCUAAGCCUAACACUUCAGUUUCUGUGAAUUUCUACACAUCCUUCCGGUAUAUCCCCAUUUUUCUAAGGUAGCCAAAAUCAGUUUUUGUGGCUUGAAACAAAGGACUGUGAAGUGCCAAAAGUAAAUCCAUGUGUGGGCUACACUGCAGAAUGCCAAA